AGGCAUGUCCUUGACGUUCAACUGCUUAACUGAAUUUAGACAGUAAUGUAUUCAGAAAGGAAUAUUUGAGUGACAUAAAAUGUAUAUAAACACGUUAAAUCUGUCAUGUUUAUUUUGAAUACGCUAAAUUAAGAAUAUAUACCUAUAGAGAAUGCAUUCUGAAUAAUGAACAUGAUUUUGUUGUAUAAUUAUCCAUUUAUAUUGUCUUUAAUCAAAACAAUAUGAAUACUAAAAACUAUAUGCUGUGUGUUCCUGUGGAUUAAAACAGUUAGUUGACCUUAAAGUGACUAGACACCAGGUGAUACAAUUGCAGGAAGAACAUAAAAAUGUAGCCGUAUGAAUCGAAGCAGACCCAGGAGGAACUGUUGAAGAACAAGCCAGACAGCCCCCCCCCCCCCAAGCUGCCCACCAGGCUGAGCUGUACUUGGUGUUUGCCAACAUGCUGUAAUUUCCAGCCUGGUUGCUGUAGCCACAGAGGAAUUUUCAAGGACAAGAACCAGUGCUGGUAAAACUGUGGUCUCGUGUGGUUUUCCAUACCGGCUCUCGGCAAGGAUUUUCAAGAAAGGAAUAUCAUCUCCAAAUCAUGAUGUGCCAAUAAGCUCCAGUUAGCUGUGGCCUUUUCCCCAGGCGGUAGUCCUGCAAUCUGAAUCCAGGAGAUGCAGCUCUGAAUCCAAUAUUUCAGAAGAAUGAAGAUGAAGCAGACCCAGGAGGAACUGUUGAAGAACAAGCCAGACAGCCCCCCCCCCCCCCCCAAGCUGCCCACCAGGCUGAGCUGUACUUGGUGUUUGCCAACAUGCUGUAAUUUCCAGCCUGGUUGCUGUAGCCACAGAGGAAUUUUCAAGGACAAGAACCAGUGCUGGUAAAACUGUGGUCUCGUGUGGUUUUCCAUACCGGCUCUCGGCAAGGAUUUUCAAGAAAGGAAUAUCAUCUCCAAAUCAUGAUGUGCCAAUAAGCUCCAGUUAGCUGUGGCCUUUUCCCCAGGCGGUAGUCCUGCAAUCUGAAUCCAGGAGAUGCAGCUCUGAAUCCAAUAUUUCAGAAGAAUGAAGAUGAAGCAGACCCAGGAGGAACUGUUGAAGAACAAGCCAGACAGCCCCCACCCCCCCAAGCUGCCCACCAGGCUGAGCUGUACUUGGUGUUUGCCAACAUGCUGUAAUUUCCAGCCUGGUUGCUGUAGCCACAGAGGAAUUUUCAAGGACAAGAACCAGUGCUGGUAAAACUGUGGUCUCGUGUGGUUUUCCAUACCGGCUCUCGGCAAGGAUUUUCAAGAAAGGAAUAUCAUCUCCAAAUCAUGAUGUGCCAAUAAGCUCCAGUUAGCUGUGGCCUUUUCCCCAGGCGGUAGUCCUGCAAUCUGAAUCCAGGAGAUGCAGCUCUGAAUCCAAUAUUUCAGAAGAAUGAAGAUCACGAGAAGCUUAGUUCAUCUACUGAACAUGCAGUGUGUGGUUUGGGGAAGAUGCUACGCCUUGGUGAAAGUGUACGGCCAGAUAUGUGUCUGACAACAUCCCCUAAAGCCAUCCGGCGGAUCCGACCAUGGCUAGGAAGCACAAGGCUUCCAUUCUGGCCAGCGCUUGAUAUGCAGCUCAGUCAGGACUGCGGGCAAAAUUUGUUUGACUACCUGAUAUUCCAUACACCCUUGUGUUUUAUUAUCCACCAAGAUCAAAUACAGUCAGACUGGAAGACAUUUAAAGCGCAAUUUCUGCACAUGCCAGCUUACCACGGACCCAGCCCUGUCCACUGAUUGAAGGAGUCCUGUUAGCGUUUUGCAUACACACAUUUUUAUGUAAGACGUUGAUGCGAGGACGCUUGGGUCAUCACAUGAUGUUGGUGUUUUCGGAAACUCCAUGUUCAAGGUAAAAGUUGCAGUAAAUGUAUUCCAGUAAAUGUAUUCCAGUAAAUGUAUUCCAGUAACUUAAUAUCAAUACUGUAAACAAAAACUUUUGACCACCAUUUG